GAUGAAGAAUGUAGCGAAAUGCGAUAAGUUGUGUGAAUUGCAGAAUUCAGUGAAUCAUCGAAUCUUUGAACGCACAUUGCGCCCUGUGGUAUUCCGCAGGGCAUGCCUGUUCGAGCGUCAUUUCAACCCUCAAGCUCUGCUUGGUGUUGGGCCCUGCCCGCUGCGGCCGGCCCUAAAGACAGUGGCGGUGCCGCCUGGCCCUGAGCGUAGUACAUCUCUCGCUCCAGUGCCCGGUGGUAGCCUGCCAGAACCCCAACUCUCGUGGUUGACCUCGGAUCAGGUAGGGAUACCCGCUGAACUUAAGCAUAUCAAUAAGCGGAGGA
rnacentral:misc_RNA from 1 species